GACGAACGCUGGCGGCGUGCUUAACACAUGCAAGUCGAACGGAAAGGCCCUGCUUUUGUGGGGUGCUCGAGUGGCAAACGGGUGAGUAACACGUGAGUAACCUGCCCUUGACUUUGGGAUAACUUCAGGAAACUGGGGCUAAUACCGGAUAGGAGCUCCUGCUGCAUGGUGGGGGUUGGAAAGUUUCGGCGGUUGGGGAUGGACUCGCGGCUUAUCAGCUUGUUGGUGGGGUAGUGGCUUACCAAGGCUUUGACGGGUAGCCGGCCUGAGAGGGUGACCGGCCACAUUGGGACUGAGAUACGGCCCAGACUCCUACGGGAGGCAGCAGUGGGGAAUAUUGCACAAUGGGCGGAAGCCUGAUGCAGCAACGCCGCGUGCGGGAUGACGGCCUUCGGGUUGUAAACCGCUUUCGCCUGUGACGAAGCGUGAGUGACGGUAAUGGGUAAAGAAGCACCGGCUAACUACGUGCCAGCAGCCGCGGUGAUACGUAGGGUGCGAGCGUUGUCCGGAUUUAUUGGGCGUAAAGGGCUCGUAGGUGGUUGAUCGCGUCGGAAGUGUAAUCUUGGGGCUUAACCCUGAGCGUGCUUUCGAUACGGGUUGACUUGAGGAAGGUAGGGGAGAAUGGAAUUCCUGGUGGAGCGGUGGAAUGCGCAGAUAUCAGGAGGAACACCAGUGGCGAAGGCGGUUCUCUGGGCCUUUCCUGACGCUGAGGAGCGAAAGCGUGGGGAGCGAACAGGCUUAGAUACCCUGGUAGUCCACGCUGUAAACGGUGGGUACUAGGUGUGGGGUCCAUUCCACGGGUUCCGUGCCGUAGCUAACGCUUUAAGUACCCCGCCCGGGGAGUACGGCCGCAAGGCUAAAACUCAAAGGAAUUGACGGGGCCCCGCACAAGCGGCGGAGCAUGCGGAUUAAUUCGAUGCAACGCGUAGAACCUUACCUGGGUUUGACAUGGAUCGGGAGUGCUCAGAGAUGGGUGUGCCUCUUUUGGGGUCGGUUCACAGGUGGUGCACGGCUGUCGUCAGCUCGUGUCGUGAGAUGUUGGGUUAAGUCCCGCAACGAGCGCAACCCUUGUUCACUGUUGCCAGCACGUUAUGGUGGGGACUCAGUGGAGACCGCCGGGGUCAGCUCGGAGGAAGGUGGGGAUGACGUCAAGUCAUCAUGCCCCUUAUGUCCAGGGCUUCACGCAUGCUACAAUGGCUGGUACAGAGAGUGGCGAGCCUGUGAGGGUGAGCGAAUCUCGGAAAGCCGGUCUCAGUUCGGAUUGAGGUCUGCAACUCGACCUCAUGAAGUCGGAGUCGCUAGUAAUCGCAGAUCAGCAACGCUGCGGUGAAUACGUUCCCGGG
rnacentral:rRNA from 1 species